AUACGGAGGGUGCAAGCGUUGUUCGGAAUUAUUGGGCGUAAAGAGCAUGUAGGCGGACUAUUAAGUCUGGUGUGAAAGCCCGGGGCUCAACCCCGGAAGUGCAUUGGAUACUGGUAGUCUUGAGUAUGCGAGAGGAAAGUGGAAUUCCGAGUGUAGAAGUGAAAUCCGUAGAUAUUCGGAGGAACACCAGUGGCGAAGGCGGCUUUCUGGACCAAUACUGACGCUGAGAUGCGAAAGCGUAGGGAGCGAACAGAAUUAGAUACCCCAGUAGUCC
rnacentral:rRNA from 1 species